AACGAACGCUGGCGGCGUGCCUAACACAUGCAAGUCGUGCGAGAAAGUUCCUUCGGGAGCGAGUAAAGCGGCGCACGGGUGAGUAACACGUAGGUAACCUGCCCCCCAGUCUGGAACAACUAGAGGAAACUCUAGCUAAUGCCGGAUGAGACCACGAUCCCUUCGGGGGUUGCGGCCAAAGAUGGCCUCUACUUGUAAGCUAUCGCUGAGGGAUGGGCCUGCGGGCCAUUAGCUUGUUGGUGAGGUAACGGCUCACCAAGGCUGUGAUGGCUAGCUGGUCUGAGAGGAUGACCAGCACACUGGGACUGAGACACGGCCCAGACUCCUACGGGAGGCAGCAGUGGGGAAUAUUGCGCAAUGGGCGAAGCCUGACGCAGCGACGCCGCGUGGGUGA
rnacentral:rRNA from 1 species